AAUAGAUACCCGGGUAGUCCACGCCGUAAACGGUGGGUACUAGGUGUGGGUUCUUUCCUAAGGAUCCGUGCCGUAGCUAACGCAUUAAGUACCCCGCCUGGGGAGUACGGCCGCAAGGCUAAAACUCAAAGGAAUUGACGGGGGGCCCGCACAAGCGGCGGAGCAUGUGGAUUAAUUCGAUGCAACGCGAAGAACCUUACCUGGGUUUGACAUGCACAGGACGCGUCUAGAGAUAGGCGUUCCCUUUGGGCCUGUGUGCAGGUGGUGCAUGGCUGUCGUCAGCUCGUGUCGUGAGAUGUUGGGUUAAGUCCCGCAACGAGCGCAACCCUUGUCCCAUGUUGCCAGCGGGUGAUGCCGGGGACUCAUGGGAGACUGCCGGGGUCAACUCGGAGGAAGGUGGGGAUGACGUCAAGUCAUCAUGCCCCUUAUGUCCAGGGCUUCACACAUGCUACAAUGGCCGGUACAAAGGGCUGCGAAGCCGUGAGGUGGAGCGAAUCCCUGCAAAGCCGGUCUCAGUUCGGAUCGGGGUCUGCAACGUCCG
rnacentral:rRNA from 1 species